rnacentral:rRNA from 1 species
UACGUAGGGAGCAAGCGUUGUCCGGAAUCAUUGGGCGUAAAGCGCGCGUAGGCGGCCCCGUAAGUCCGCUGUGAAAGUCAAAGGCUCAACCCUUGAAUGCCGGUGGAUACUGCAGGGCUAGAGUCCGGAAGAGGCGAGUGGAAUUCCUGGUGUAGCGGUGAAAUGCGCAGAUAUCAGGAGGAACACCGAUGGCGAAGGCAGCUCGCUGGGACGGUACUGACGCUGAGGCGCGAAAGCGUGGGGAGCAAACAGG